rnacentral:rRNA from 1 species
CGCGUAGGCGGGGAUGCAAGUCAGAUGUGAAAUCUAUGGGCUUAACCCAUAAACUGCAUUUGAAACUGUAUCUCUUGAGUGUCGGAGAGGUAGACGGAAUUCCUAGUGUAGCGGUGAAAUGCGUAGAUAUUAGGAGGAACAUCGGUGGCGAAGGCGGCUUACUGGGCUUUUACUGACGCUGAGGCUCGAAAGCGUGGGAGCAAACA